UACGUAGGGUGCAAGCGUUAUCCGGAAUUAUUGGGCGUAAAGAGCUCGUAGGCGGUUUGUCGCGUCUGCUGUGAAAACUGGGGCUCAACCCCAGCCUGCAGUGGGUACGGCAGACUAGAGUGCGGUAGGGAGAUUGGAAUCCUGGUGUAGCGGUGGAAUGCGCAGAUAUCAGGAGGAACACCGAUGGCGAAGGCAGAUCUCUGGGCCGUAACUGACGCUGAGGAGCGAAAGCGUGGGAGCGAACAGG
rnacentral:rRNA from 1 species